rnacentral:rRNA from 1 species
UGGGGAAUAUUCCACAAUGGGCGCAAGCCUGAUGCAGCCAUGCCGCGUGUAUGAAGAAGGCCUUCGGGUUGUAAAGUACUUUCAGUCGGGAGGAAGGUGGUAAGGUUAAUAACCUUAUCAAUGGACGCUACCGACAGAAGAAGCACCGGCUAACUCCGUGGCAGCAGCCGCGGUAAUAAGGUGGGUGCAAGGGUUAAUCGGAAUUACUGGGCGUAAAGCGCACGCAGGCGGUUGAUUGAGUCAGAUGUGAAAUCCCCGGGCUCAACCUGGGAAGUGCAUCUGAUAGUGCCAAGCUUGAGUCUCGUAGAGGGGGGAAGAAUUCCAGGUGUAGCGGUGAAAUGCGUAGAGAUCUGGAGGAAUACCGGUGGCGAAGGCGGCCCGCUAGGCGAAGACUGACGCUCAGGUGCGAAAGCGUGGGGAGCGAACAGG